UCUUGACAUCCACGGAAUUUAGCAGAGAUGCUUUAGUGCCUUCGGGAACCGUGAGACAGGUGCUGCAUGGCUGUCGUCAGCUCGUGUUGUGAAAUGUUGGGUUAAGUCCCGCAACGAGCGCAACCCUUAUCCUUUGUUGCCAGCGGUUCGGCCGGGAACUCAAAGGAGACUGCCAGUGAUAAACUGGAGGAAGGUGGGGAUGACGUCAAGUCAUCAUGGCCCUUACGAGUAGGGCUACACACGUGCUACAAUGGCGUAUACAAAGAGAAGCGACCUCGCGAGAGCAAGCGGACCUCAUAAAGUACGUCGUAGUCCGGAUUGGAGUCUGCAACUCGACUCCAUGAAGUCGGAAUCGCUAGUAAUCGUGGAUCAGAAUGCUACGGUGAAUACGUUCCCGGGCCUUGUACACACCGCCCGUCACACCAUGGGAGUGGGUUGCAAAAGAAGUAGGUAGCUUAACCUUCGGGAGGGCGCUUACCACUUUGUGAUUCAUGACUGGGGUGAAGUCGUAACAAGGUAAGCGUAGAUGA
rnacentral:rRNA from 1 species